rnacentral:rRNA from 1 species
GACGAACGCUGGCGGCGUGCCUAAUACAUGCAAGUAGAACGCUGAAGAGAGGAGCUUGCUCUUCUUGGAUGAGUUGCGAACGGGUGAGUAACGCGUAGGUAACCUGCCUGGUAGCGGGGGAUAACUAUUGGAAACGAUAGCUAAUACCGCAUAAAAUGGAUUAUCGCAUGAUAAUCCAUUUAAAGGUGCAAAUGCAUCACUACCAGAUGGACCUGCGUUGUAUUAGCUAGUUGGUGGGGUAACGGCUCACCAAGGCGACGAUACAUAGCCGACCUGAGAGGGUGAUCGGCCACACUGGGACUGAGACACGGCCCAGACUCCUACGGGAGGCAGCAGUAGGGAAUCUUCGGCAAUGGACGGAAGUCUGACCGAGCAACGCCGCGUGAGUGAAGAAGGUUUUCGGAUCGUAAAGCUCUGUUGUAAGAGAAGAACGAGUGUGAGAGUGGAAAGUUCACACUGUGACGGUAUCUUACCAGAAAGGGACGGCUAACUACGUG